GGGAGAGGAUGCACAGAAUGCUCAGAAGAAUUGAAAAACUGCAGUAUCUUCCAGUGAAAGAAUGCAAGAGUCUGGUUUAUUUAGGUCUAUUUCAAAGAAGAAGUAUGAUGCGCUUCAAGUAAUUAAUUGCGGAGCUUCUUGUGCUUCACAAAACUCAUCUCACAGAAGUCAACAGAGGUAGUCCCAUGAAUCAAAUAAGCAGACUGCG
rnacentral:lncRNA from 1 species